AUCGCUUCUCGGCCUUUUGGCUAAGAUCAAGUGUAGUAUCUGUUCUUAUCAGUUUAAAAAUCACAUGUCCCUGGGAAAUUCUCAUUCGUUACAUGGAAAAAGCACUUUAUAAAACUAUACAUAGUAUGGUCUAUUUAUAGAUGUGUGUACACACAUAUUUCAGAAAUAAAUAUAGAAGACUGGAAAAAUACCCUCA